GACGUAGGGUGCGAGCGUUGUCCGGAUUUAUUGGGCGUAAAGGGCGCGUAGGCGGCUUGGCAAGUGGAUGGUGAAAUCCCUCGGCUUAACCGAGGAACUGCCGUCCAAACUGCUUCGCUUGAGACCGGGAGAGGUGAGUGGAAUUCCCAGUGUAGCGGUGAAAUGCGUAGAUAUUGGGAGGAACACCAGUGGCGAAGGCGGCUCACUGGACCGGUACUGACGCUGAUGCGCGAAAGCGUGGGGAGCAGACGGG
rnacentral:rRNA from 1 species